rnacentral:rRNA from 1 species
AUGAACGCUGGCGGCGUGCCUAAUACAUGCAAGUCGAGCGAACAGACGAGGAGCUUACUCCUCUGACGUUAGCGGCGGACGGGUGAGUAACACGUGGAUAACCUACCUAUAAGACUGGGAUAACUUCGGGAAACCGGAGCUAAUACCGGAUAACAUGUUGAACCGCAUGGUUCAACAGUGAAAGACGGUCUUGCUGUCACUUAUAGAUGGAUCCGCGUCGCAUUAGCUAGUUGGUAAGGUAACGGCUUACCAAGGCAACGAUGCGUAGCCGACCUGAGAGGGGGAUCGCCCACCCUGAACUGAGACACGGUCCAGACUCCUACGGGAGGCAGCAGUAGGGAAUCUUCCGCAAUGGGCGAAAGCCUGACGGAGCAACGCCGCGUGAGUGAAGAAGGUCUUCGGAUCGUAAAACUCUGUUAUUAGGGAAGAACAAAUGUGUAAGUAACUAUGCACGUCUUGACGGUACCUAAUCAGAAAGCCACGGCUAACUACGUG